rnacentral:tRNA from 1 species
GGUGGCUCAUUGGUAGAGUGCUUGCCUUGCAUGCAUGAGGCCCUAGGUUCAAUUCCUCAGCACCA